CUCAACCCCGGGACGCCGGUCGAAACUGUCAUGGCUAGGGUCCGGUAGAGGUGAGUGGAAUUCUCGGUGUAGCGGUGAAAUGCGCAGAUAUCGAGAGGAACACCAGUAGCGAAGGCGGCUCACUGGGCCGGUACCGACGCUGAGGAGCGAAAGCGUGGGGAGCAAACAGGAUUAGAUACCCUGGUAGUCCACGCCGUAAACGAUGAACACUAGGUGUGGCGGACUUAUCCACGUCUGCCGUGCCGCAGCUAACGCACUAAGUGUUCCGCCUGGGGAGUACGGCCGCAAGGCUAAAACUCAAAGGAAUUGACGGGGCCCCGCACAAGCGGCGGAGCAUGCGGCUUAAUUCGAUGCAACCCGAAGAACCUUACCUGGACUUGACAUCAUGGGUCUACCUGUGGAAACACAGGGUGCAUUUGCGCCC
rnacentral:rRNA from 1 species